AUGGACACUUACCGCGCUGCACGAACCAGGGAGGCUGGGCUUCUCUAUGCCCGGUCUGCAGCAGCUCUCUCCCAUGCCUUAUCUCAGGGCUGCUCCACUGGAGGUGCUGUGCUCGUGUGGUGUGAACCCAAGCAGUAACUCUAAACCUGGCCUCCGCUGGAGCUGUCCUAACAACCUGCACUACGGCCUCCACAUGGGAGCAAUGUUCACUGACACACCCAUGAAAGCCAAGAGGUCACGACCCCAGGCCAGCACACUAAUGCACCACCACAACAGUGAAUUGGGCAGAAAGGCUUUGCGUGAGGCUCUGGCAGGUGGAAUGGUGUGUCUGGCUCCUGCUCAAUCAGGAGAGGUCUGCAGAUGCUGGUUGCCAAAGCUCUAAAGACUAAGUACAUGUCUGCCACUAAGGUGAUCCUGCGGUCCGUGGGGGUUAGGACACAGCUAGUGCCUCGAGAAAUUGGCAUUCGGCCAAUCGGAGACAGCGAGCUGGUGUAUCUACAGAGCACACCGGACUUCUGCACAGAGGAUGCCAAGAUGAGCUCACUGGACGAUGCAACGAGACGUUGAGUGGCAGUGACGGCUGUGAUCUCAUGUGCUGUGGUCGAGGCCACAGUCCUUACAGAGUGGCUGGUGGAGAAAUGCCACUGCAGCUUUCACUGGUGCUGCUACGUGAGCUGGAGAACAUGUCACAGGACAGUGGAGAGACACGUUUUGCAUGGGAACUAACCAACUCUUCAACUUAACCCAGGCUUCUCCAGGAUUGAAAUCAAAGAACUGUACCAACAAUAUUUUUACUUUCAGCUCUUGCCUAAUAUAAAUUCUGACGAACAUAAUUCAUUACAUUUCAGAAUAUUUCUAUCACUGGGUAUUCUAUGAAUAUUGCCAGGGAUGUGUGUUUAUAAAGAAUUAUUCAUAUACUGCUGUUAUACCAUCAAGAUCAUUUAUUAUAAUGCAUCUAUGAUGUCUUGAUUAUCUUUGUGGAAAUGGAAAUCCCUCAGGAAUCCUAAAGGGUGUAUAUUAUUUGACCUAUGUUUUUUUAUGUGAAACAGUUGAAACAGGAAUUUAAGAGGGUUUCAGGGAUCUGCACUUCUCUUAUGUAGGACGAUGAAGUGUUUAAUACAGAAGGUCUCAUUUUAUACUCCUUUUUGUAACCUGAGCAGUAUUUGGUGGCUGUUUGUGACUGGGAACUUCUGUAGCAAGUACACAGCAUAGUAUUUGCUAGGACUUAGCUGCUACAAAAACAAACUUAAUAUACUAUUUGAAAAACUUGUCUGUACAAUUUAAAUAUCACACAGUAUGUUUAAAUAAAAGUGUAUUUCGCAACA